GCUGACUGCGGUUCCCUUCGUGAACGGGGUCCUCUUCUGCAAGGUCCGGCUGCUGGAUGGAGGGGAUUUUGUCAGCUUGUCGUCAAGGAGCUGAAAGGCGGGAAGGCUUAUUCCAAGGUAAGAGGGGCUGUGUGAAGGGGCAGUGGGAUGGAAUGGGGGGUGGCAUGGGACAGGCACAAGGGAAGCCUCCAGCCCCUUUUCUGCCACAAGCAAGAGGCACUCAGCCCUACCUGAGAUGUGUUAUUUUUUAGAAAUAUCUUUAUUGAUGGUCUUUGCACUCAAUAUAAAGGCAGCAUAUGGUUGUUGCAAUAUAAAUGGUACAGAAGUCCACAGAGCAAAAGGGCCAGUUUCUGUCCCCUUUCCUCUCUCCAGGCCUCUUUCUGGGACCCCAUUAUUGGAUAGAUUAAGACCUUUCCAGACCUU
rnacentral:lncRNA from 1 species